UACAGAGGUUUCAAGCGUUGUUCGGAUUCAUUGGGCGUAAAGGGUGCGUAGGCGGUGUGGUAAGUCGGGUGUGAAAUCUCGGAGCUUAACUCCGAAACUGCAUUCGAUACUGGCAUGCUUGAGGACUGGAGAGGAGACUGGAAUUUACGGUGUAGCGGUGAAAUGCGUAGAUAUCGUAAGGAAGACCAGUGGCGAAGGCGGGUCUCUGGACAGUACCUGACGCUGAGGCACGAAGGUCAGGGGAGCAAACGGG
rnacentral:rRNA from 1 species